GGGGUGUCAAACUCCAGGCCUCGAGGGCCGGUGUCCUGCAGGUUUUGGAUCCCACACUGUGUCAACACACCUGAAUCAAAUGAUUAGUUCAUUACCAGGCCUCUGGAGAACUGCAAGACAUGUUGAAGAGACAAAGGAAAAUAAAGAAUUGGCCACUGCCCUGAAGACCCGCCGCAUCGAUAUCGCCUGUGUCCAAGAGACAAAAUGGAGCGGAGCGAAAGCCAAGGAAAUCAGCAUCAUGUCAAUCGAAACAGACUCCGGAAAGACAGCUCUGCAAGUGGUCUGCUGCUACACACCACAAGUGCUCGGAUGAGUCCAAAGACGAAUUUUGUGUUCAGUCCAGCCAGAAGGCUUGGUCAUAGGUGGCGACCUAAAUGGUCAUGUGGGGGCCAGAAGAGAUGGCUACAAACAACAUCAUGGUGGACAAGAACACGGUACACGUAACAAAGAAGGCUGCAUAGUCCAGAAUUUUGCUGAAGCCCACAAACUCAUCGUAGCGAACACCUACUUCAAAAAGUGCCUGUCUCACCUGAUAACUUACGCCAGAGGAGGACGUUUCACCCAGGUCGAGUACUGGGUGAAACAUAUUUAUAUAGCACUUCAGAAACAGGUGAUUGAUGUAUGGUGUCUGCAACUUAUUAGAUCCAGAUGUCAUUCAGUGUCACACACUGAUAAUGAGCGUUGGAGUACUGUAAACAAAACCAGUGUAAACUCUGUAGAUGGAUGUUUGUUGUCUGCAGCCUAUUAGUGCUGCCAGACCUAGGUUUUAUUUAGUUUCACACACUUAUAAUGAGUUUAGGAGUAUUGUAAACAGAACCAGUGUACACUCUCCAGGCUGAGGCAGGAAAAAUUACUUUGGGUCUCUGUAUGAAACAACUCACAGCAAAUUACUGGAAAUAAUCUAAGGGGACACAACGGCACUCAUGUUUACUCACGUUUUGAUGUAGAUUUGGGUAAUGAGGUGCUGGGUUGUCAUCUAUUUCUAUUUAUUUCUUCAUAUUUUGAAGAAUAAAGAAUUUAAAAAACAGACAGAUUAAGCUGUAAACACUUGAGUUAUGUGACUUGGUAUUGUUUUGUAAACAUUUGUAAAAAUGAAUUUGUUUGUGUAUUUUGCUAAAAUGAUGUAACCAAAAG
ensembl:lncRNA